AAUGCCCUUUGGCCUGCAACACACAUAUGGUUAAAGUUUUGCCACCUACUUUGUGGCAUCUCUAAUCCAGUGUUUUCU